AAAUAAACCACACUAGUGGUAUUUGCUUAAAAAAAAAAAAAACCCUAAACCCUAAACCCUAAACCCCUAAACCCUAAACCCUAAACCCUAAACCCCUAAACCCUAAAACCUAAACCCUAAACCCUAAACCCUAAACCCAAACCCCAAACCCCAAACCCCAAACCCUAAACCCUAUUAUUACUUCCAUAGCUCCUAUUCCCACAGCUACUACUGAUGUACCCCCUGAGCCGACACAUAUGAGUUCUCCACCAUUAAAGACACACACAGAUGGUACUCAGUCAGCGCAGGGAUCAGGUACCGGGACAGUUCCUCAAACCACUCUUGCACAGGGGUUGUUGGCUGAGAUCAGCUCAGAGCGACAUAGUGUCAAGCAUAUGCUGAUUGAUCACUUUAAGAAGGACCAUGGAAUGAAAGUUGGAUCUACCAUGAGAUUUGCUAUUGAGGACUUGGUUUUUAAGCUCUUUGGAGAGGGACCUUCUGUAAGUAAGACUCCUACGCAUACACCUUCACCUGGUCCUUCUAUCACAGCUCCUACACACAAUAAGGUGAAAGAACAUAUACAGAGAGACAUGGAUGGCAUGGGCCUUGGAAACUGCAUGCAAAAUGCAGAGGACGAUGUCCCUACAGCAAGCAGGUCAAUCUCCCAUGAUUCAGAUGUCGUAGCACAGAUAGACGCACCUACGACUAGUACAAUGAGAUCAGAUGCACCCGCUUUUCGCCCGACAUUCAGUGCACCACCAUCCGAACAGUACUUAUCACCAAAGCAGGCUCCUACACGCAGGCGAGACCCCUCUCCAACGAGCGAGCCAGACAUCGCAGACUACUAUGAUCCAGAAAUGUUUCAAACCAGACGCAUGACCC
rnacentral:lncRNA from 1 species